GUGCUUAUACCUUGUGUUUCACAUAUCCUACUGCUGCUAUAUAUAUAUAUAUAAUAUAUAUAGCAGCAGUAGGAUAUGUGAAACACAAGGUAUAAGCA
rnacentral:pre_miRNA from 1 species